ACGAGCUAGCAGCUUUCGGCCAGCUCUGAGAGUGACUUUGGGUUUUCCAGGUCGGCGGAUCCGGUGAAGUCUGGUGGAGACAAAGGAACUUGCUUAUUCAGUGCAACAAAUGCCUUAGAACUUAGAUAGUUUCCAAGGAAGUGUUGAAUGUGCAUUUCACCAUCAUCUUCACAUCCACCUUGGGCAGAGGACCUGAGAUUUGAGGGUAGAGCAGAAGUCAGUGAAGAAGAUAUGACUUAAAAACAUCCCGCCC